rnacentral:rRNA from 1 species
GACGAACGUUGGCGGCGUGCUUAACACAUGCAAGUCGAGCGAUGAAGCACCUUCGGGUGUGAAUUAGCGGCGAACGGGUGAGGAACACGUGAGAAAUCUGCCUUCAACACUGGGAUAACUCCGGGAAACCGGGGCUAAUACCGGAUAUGAAACCUGCGGGCAUCCGCGGGUUUGGAAAGUUUUUCGGUUGAAGAUGAUCUCGCGGCCUAUCAGCGUGUUGGUGAGGUAAUGGCUCACCACGGCGACGACGGGUAGCCGGCCUGAGAGGGCGACCGGCCAAACUGGGACUGAGACACGGCCCAGACUCCUACGGGAGGCAGCAGUGGGGAAUAUUGGGCAAUGGAGGAAACUCUGACCCAGCGACGCCGCGUGCGGGAUGAAGGCCUUCGGGUUGUAAACCGCUUUCAGCAGAGAAGAAGCGAAAGUGACGGUACCUGCAGAAGAAGCACCGGCUAACUAUGUGCCAGCCGCCGCCGUAA